GGGUGAGUAACACGUAAGUAACCUGCCUUUAAGACGAGGAUAACAACCGGAAGGUUACUAAGACUGGAUAGGAAACAAAAAGGCAUCUUUUUGUUUUUAAAAGACCUUCUUACGAUGGUGUGCUUAAAGAGGGGCUUGCGCCACAUUAGUAGUUGGUAGAGUAAAAGCAUACCAAGACGAUGACGGGUAGCUGGACUGAGAGGUUGAACAGCCACAUUGGGACUGAGACACGGCCCAAACUCCUACGGGAGGCAGCAGUGGGGAAUUUUCGGCAAUGGGCGGAAACUCUGACCGAGCUACGCCGCGUGAACGAUGAAGUAUUUCGGUUGUAAAGUUCUUUUAUUGAAGGAAGAAAAAGUAGUGGAAUAACUAUAUUGACGUUAUUCAAUGAAUAAGCCCCGGCUAACUAUGUGCCAGCAGCCGCGGUAAGACAUAGGGGGCGAGCGUUAUCCGGAAUUAUUGGGCGUAAAGGGUGCGUAGGCUGUUAGAUAAGUCUAUAAUUUAAUGGCAGUGCUUAACGCUGUCUUGUUAUAGAAACUGUCUUGACUAGAGUGAGAUAGAGGCAAGCGAAAUUCCAUGUGUAGCGGUAAAAUGUGUAAAUAUAUGGAGGAACACCAGAAGCGUAGGCGGCUUGCUGGGUCUUUACUGACGCUGAGGCACGAAAGCGUGGGUAUCAAACAGGAUUAGAUACCCUGGUAGUCCACGCCGUAAACGAUGAGUACUAAGUGUCGGGGGUAAAACUCGGUACUGAAGUUAACACAUUAAGUACUCCGCCUGAGUAGUACGUACGCAAGUAUGAAACUUAAAGGAAUUGAAGGGACUCCGCACAAGCGGUGGAUCAUGUUGUUUAAUUCGAAGAUACACGAAAAAUCUUACCAGGUCUUGACAUACUCUGCAAAGCUAUAGAAAUAUAGUGGAGGUUAUCAGGGAUACAGGUGGUGCAUGGUUGUCGUCAGUUCGUGUCGUGAGAUGUUAGGUUAAUUCCUAAAACGAACGCAACCCUUGUCGUUAAUUGCCAGCACAUAAUGGUGGGGACUUUAACGAGACUGCCAAUUAAACAUUGGAGGAAGCUGAGGAUUACGUCAAAUCAUCAUGCCCCUUAUGAUCUGGGCUACAAACGUGAUACAAUGGCUGUCAUAAAGAGUAGCUGAAACGCGAGUUUUUAGCCAAUCUCAAAAAAGCAGUCUCAGUUCGGAUUGAAGUCUGUAACUCGACUUCAUGAAGUUGGAAUCGCUAGUCCUCGCGAAUCAGCAUGUCGCGGUGAAUACGUUCU
rnacentral:rRNA from 1 species